rnacentral:miRNA from 1 species
CCGUGUUGAGUCCAGUACACUAUCUUGACUGUUGGUUUUUAAUCGGUACAAAAAAGUACAGGUGAAAAACCAACAGUGAAGAUAGUGUACUGGACUCAACACGAU